CAGACGAGCGCUGAGGGCCAGUGCACGCCAGACCCCGUGCUAGGUGGAGGAACAGCAGCAAAUGAGGCAGACACAGUGCUUCAGUAGAUAAACCAGAUGAAGAAGAUGAUGAAUGUGCUAUAAAAGCAAUUGGGAAAUAAAUCAAAUGAGACAGACAGUAAGUGGUGGGCGUAGCGGCUGGCAAAGUUCUCUCGGAGGAAGUGGCAUUUCGUCUGAGGCUUGACAGGUGACUACAAGAUAUUGAAUGUAGUUCCCUCUACUAUAUAGAAGAAACUUGUUGUAUUUUAAUUAGACUUUUCGUCUCCUAGCAACUGUUGCAAUCCAUCUCUCCCUGGGCUCACCUUUUUCCUAGGUUGACCCCGUCGACGUGUGAGACAGCCAAAGGCCUUUGCCUAGCCCUUGAGUCAGCUGAAUACACAGAUGUCUGUACCUGGGCCAGUGCGUCUUUAUCAUACCUGCGGUCCACCUGCUCUUUGUUUACCACCUCCUGUACACACACCGAGCUCUUAAGAAUCUCUGACCUGGCGCUUGAGUGGGUUCAUGUUAUGGCCUUAAAUUCAACAGAAGAUCAUCACCAUCAGCUACUCUGUGAGGCACGCCCCCUGACGGGGGGUUCUGAGAUUUGGAUAGACAGGAGUUCUCUGUCUUGCUGGCCUUGAAGAAGCAAGUUGCCCUACGUCGUGAACUGCUGGUGGAGAGGGUCAUGUGGCAAGGAACUGAGGGAAAUUUCCAGCUGAUGGCCAGCAGAACACUGAGACCCUCAAUCUGACAGCCUGCAAGAAAUUGGAUCCCGUCAACAACCAUGUGAGCUUGGAGGAAGUGCAUUUAUAAAGCUCCUCAAGAGGUCUACUGGAAUGGAACACUGGAUGUCCGUAGCAGGUGCUAACUUGACAAAGCUUCCUUGCAUUGGCCUUUCCUAUUCUCUUGUUUCAAUCUCACCCCUUAUCCACAGAAACCAUGAAAGAGUAAAUACGUAUUGUUUUAAGCUGCGAAAUUUGUGGUAGUACUGCUAAAGGGCAAGAGAUAACUAACACUCUUAACUAAUUCUUAAAUGACCCAUACGUAGCUCUGGGGGAAAAAGAAUGAACCAGUAUAUGUAUGGCAGCCAAUCAUAAGCUAUCUUUAUGGGAAACCAGACUGGUCCACACCACAUCAUUCAUCAGUGCUAUACGAAUAUAAGCAUUCUUCCUCUUCACCCCUCAAAGCUGUAUUCUGUCCUUUGGUUAGUAAGCAUAAUCAGUCAAACUGAUUGCAAUCUCUCCAACCAAAAGUAUAUUCUUGUAUCAUACAACAUAGUUUCGAAAACGUAAGCUUUAGUCAAAAACCAGAAGAAAACAUUUCUGAUCUGACACUCAUUAAUUUUGUAUUUUAAAAUAGUAGAAGCCAUCUGUGAGAGUGUGCCCUUACUGCUGUCUCUGUGUUUCUCUGUAUUAAGCUGUAUGUUAGAAUAAAACAUC